rnacentral:misc_RNA from 1 species
UUAAGUUCAGCGGGUAUCCCUACCUGAUCCGAGGUCAACCUUAGAAAAGUUCUCCCUGAGGGGAGGCAGACCGUGCCCCGUGUACCCUUGAUCCGAUACGUGUUCGGUGAGGAACUCAGUGUACCGGGGGUCCAACGAGGCCGCCGUCAUUGUCUUUGGGAGGGGUGACGAAAUCGUCACCAACCGUCCAACACCAAGCC